UAAAGUGGCGCACGGGUGAGUAACACGUGACUAACCUACCCUUGAGUGGGGAAUAACCUCGGGAAACCGGGGCUAAUACCGCAUAAUAUCUUCGGAUCAAAUGCGCAAGCAGCUUGAGGAGGGGGUCGCGGCCGAUUAGCUAGUUGGUGAGGUAAUGGCCCACCAAGGCAAUGAUCGGUAGCCGGCCUGAGAGGGCGCACGGCCACACUGGAACUGAAACACGGUCCAG
rnacentral:rRNA from 1 species